rnacentral:tRNA from 1 species
UAUAAGUUAGUGUAUGGUGCACCAAGAAUUUUGAUUUCUUUAGAAAAGGUUUAAAUCCUUUACUUAUAA